GUAGGUGAACCUGCGGAAGGAUCAUUACAGAAAGUAAACGCGGAUCAAACCGCGAACUUCUAAACCUUUGACGAUUGACUCAUGUUGCCUCGGCGGGUUCUCCCGCCAGAGGAUACAUCAAAACUCCUGUUUUAACGGUGUUGUCUGAGCUACAAGCAACGAAUCAAAACUUUCAACAACGGAUCUCUUGGUUCUGGCAUCGAUGAAGAACGCAGCGAAAUGCGAUAAGUAGUGUGAAUUGCAGAAUUCAGUGAAUCAUCGAAUCUUUGAACGCACAUUGCGCCCCUUGGUAUCCCGAGGGGCAUGCCUGUUCGAGCGUCAUUUCACCACUCAAGCCUGGCUUGGUGUUGGGCGACGUCCCCUUUGGGGACGCGCCUCGAAACGCUCGGCGGCGUGGCACCGGCUUUAAGCGUAGCAGAAUCUUUCGCUUCAAAAGUCGGGGCCCCGUCUGCCGGAAGACCUACUCGCAAGGUUGACCUCGGAUCAGGCAGGGAUACCCGCUGAACUUAAGCAUAUCAAUAAGCGGAGGA
rnacentral:rRNA from 1 species